UGGGGAAUUUUGGACAAUGGGCGAAAGCCUGAUCCAGCAAUGCCGCGUGUGUGAAGAAGGCCUUCGGGUUGUAAAGCACUUUUGUCCGGAAAGAAAUGGCUCUGGUUAAUACCUGGGGUCGAUGACGGUACCGGAAGAAUAAGGACCGGCUAACUACGUGCCAGCAGCCGCGGUAAUACGUAGGGUCCAAGCGUUAAUCGGAAUUACUGGGCGUAAAGCGUGCGCAGGCGGUUGUGCAAGACCGAUGUGAAAUCCCCGAGCUUAACUUGGGAAUUGCAUUGGUGACUGCACGGCUAGAGUGUGUCAGAGGGGGGUAGAAUUCCACGUGUAGCAGUGAAAUGCGUAGAGAUGUGGAGGAAUACCGAUGGCGAAGGCAGCCCCCUGGGAUAACACUGACGCUCAUGCACGAAAGCGUGGGGAGCAAACAGGAUUAGAUACCCUGGUAGUCCACGCCCUAAACGAUGUCAACUAGUUGUUGGGGAUUCAUUUCCUUAGUAACGUAGCUAACGCGUGAAGUUGACCGCCUGGGGAGUACGGUCGCAAGAUUAAAAGCUU
rnacentral:rRNA from 1 species